GGAUGCGAUCAUACCAGCACUAAAGCACCGGAUUCCAUCAGAACUCCGAAGUUAAGCGUGCUUGGGCGAGAGUAGUACUAGGAUGGGUGACCUCCUGGGAAGUCCUCGUGUUGCAUUCC
rnacentral:rRNA from 2 species